rnacentral:tRNA from 1 species
GCCGGCUUAGCUCAGAUGGUAGAGCUACUGAUUUGUAAUCAGUGGGUCGGGGGUUCGAUUCCCUCAGCCGGCACCA